AUGAUUAUGCUUUUAAGGUAUGUCAACAGUCAUGGGUACACGAUCGAGAGGUUUAUUCAGAUUAAGCAUGUUGGUGACACAAGAGCAACUUCUCUAAAGGUAGCUUUGGACGGUAUGUUUCUUGAACAUGGUUUAUCUAUGUCUAAAUUGAGAGGGCAAGAGUACGAUGGAGCUUCUAACAUGAGAGGGCAAUUUCGUGGGUUGCAAAAGUUGAUACAAGAUGAAAAUCCUUAUGCAUUGUAUAUCCAUUGCUUUGCCCACCAGUUGCAGUUAGUGGUUGUUGCUGUUGCCAAGUGUUGUUCCUCUGUAACGGAUUUCUUUAACCACAUAACUUUGAUUGUGAACACCGUCAAUGCUUCUUGUAAGAGACAUGAUGAACUAGCUCAACAACAACAUGACAAUAUUGUAAGCCAAUUGGAGUCUGGGGAAAUUUUUUCAGGAAGAGGGAAAAACCAAGCAACCAACCUUGUACGACCUGGGGAUACACGAAAAUUUAACACAAAGAAGCACAGCAGGUGGCUUAAUUUCUCAUAUGGAAAGCUUCGAAUUUGUUUUCAUGUUGCAUCUAAUGAUCAAACUAUUGGGCAAGACUAA
rnacentral:rRNA from 1 species